rnacentral:rRNA from 1 species
GAUGAACGCUGGCGGCGUGCCUAAUACAUGCAAGUCGAGCGAACAGACGAGGAGCUUGCUCCUCUGACGUUAGCGGCGGACGGGUGAGUAACACGUGGAUAACCUACCUAUAAGACUGGGAUAACUUCGGGAAACCGGAGCUAAUACCGGAUAAUAUAUUGAACCGCAUGGUUCAAUAGUGAAAGACGGUUUUGCUGUCACUUAUAGAUGGAUCCGCGCCGCAUUAGCUAGUUGGUAAGGUAACGGCUUACCAAGGCGACGAUGCGUAGCCGACCUGAGAGGGUGGUUCGCCACACUGGAACUGAGGCACGGUCCAGACUCCUACGGGAGGCAGCAGUAGGGAAUCUUCCGCCAUGGGCGAAAGCCUGACGGAGGAACGGCGCGUGAGUGAUGAAGGUCUUCGGAUCGUAAAACUCUGUUAUUAGGGAAGAACAAAUGUGUAAGUAACUAUGCACGUCUUGACGGUACCUAAUCAGAAAGCCACGGCUAACUACGUG